GUGAGCUGGGUUUAGACCGUCGUGAGACAGGUUAGUUUUACCCUACUGAUGGCCGCGUCGCAAUAGUAAUUCAAC
rnacentral:ncRNA from 1 species